GGGUGACUAGUGACGGGGGUGACUAGUGAGGGAGGGUGUGACUAGUGACAGAAUGAGGGAGAGGGUGACUAGUGACAGAAUGAGGGAGAGGGUGACUAGUGACAGCAGGAGGGAGAUGGUGACUAGUGACAGAGUGAGGGAGGUGGUGACUGUCACAUCACCCCAUCCCUCCCUCUGUCACUAGUCACUCCCUCCCUAACUCUGUCACUAGUCAUCCCUUCACUCUGUCACUAGUCACCUCCUCCCUCUGUCACUAGUCACCUCCUCCCUCUGUCACUGUCACCCCAUUCCUCCCUCUGUCACUAGUCAUCCCCUCCCUUACUCUGUAACUAGUCA